rnacentral:tRNA from 1 species
GCCGGUAGCGGUGGCGUAGUGGUAAGCGCUCCGAGGCAACUUCCAAAAAUGCGGGAUUGGGUCACCUUGCUUUCUGGAGGUUGUGGGUAAUUCCCAUCGCCGGCA